GAUGAAGAACGUAGCGAAAUGCGAUAGGUAAUGUGAAUUGCAGAAUCCAGUGAAUCAUCGAAUCUUUGAACGCACAUUGCGCCCGCCAGCAUUCUGGCGGGCAUGCCUGUUCGAGCGUCAUUUCAACCCUCGACCUCCCUUUGGGGAAGUCGGCGUUGGGGACCGGCAGCACACCGCCGGCCCUGAAAUGGAGUGGCGGCCCGUCCGCGGCGACCUCUGCGUAGUAAACCAACUCGCACCGGAACCCCGACGUGGCCACGCCGUAAAACACCCAACUUCUGAACGUUGACCUCGAAUCAGGUAGGACUACCCGCUGAACUUAAGCAUAUCAAUAAGCGGAGGA
rnacentral:misc_RNA from 1 species